rnacentral:rRNA from 1 species
AACGAACGCUGGCGGCGCGUCUUAAGCAUGCAAGUCGAACGGCAAGAGAGGAGCUUGCUUCUCUCCUAGAGUGGCGGACUGGUGAGGAACACGUGGGUAAUCUACCCUUAAGAUGGGGAUAGCUGCUAGAAAUAGCAGAUAAUACCGAAUACACUCAAUUUUUCAUAAGAGGAGUUGAGGAAAGAGGCUACGGCCUCGCUUAAGGAUGAGCUUGCGUCCCAUUAGCUAGUUGGUGAGGUAAAGGCUCACCAAGGCGACGAUGGGUAUCCGGCCUGAGAGGGUGAACGGACACAUUGGGACUGAGAUACGGCCCAAACUCCUACGGGAGGCAGCAGCUAAGAAUAUUCCGCAAUGGACGGAAGUCUGACGGAGCGACGCCGCGUGGAUGAAGAAGGCUGAAAAGUUGUAAAAUCCUUUUGUUGAUGAAGAAUAAGGGUAAGAGGGAAUGCUUGCCUGAUGACGGUAAUCGGCGAAUAAGCCCCGGCUAAUUACGUGCCAGCAGCCGCGGUAACACGUAAGGGGCGAGCGUUGUUCGGAAUUAUUGGGCGUAAAGGGCAUGUAGGCGGUUAUGUAAGCCUGAUGUGAAAUGCCGGGGCUUAACCCCGGAACAGCAUUGGGUACUGUAUAACUUGAAUUACGGAAGGGAAACUGGAAUUCCAAGUGUAGGGGUGGAAUCUGUAGAUAUUUGGAAGAACACCGGUGGCGAAGGCGGGUUUCUGGCCGAUAAUUGACGCUGAGAUGCGAAAGUGUGGGGAUCGAACAGGAUUAGAUACCCUGGUAGUCCACACCGUAAACGAUGUACACUAGGUGUUGGGGCAAGAGCUUCAGUGCCAAAGCAAACGCGAUAAGUGUACCGCCUGGGGAGUAUGCCCGCAAGGGUGAAACUCAAAGGAAUUGACGGGGGCCCGCACAAGCGGUGGAGCAUGUGGUUUAAUUCGAUGAUACGCGAGAAACCUUACCUGGGUUUGACAUCAAGAG